rnacentral:snoRNA from 1 species
GUGACAUGAUGUAUCACAUAUUUGCUACUUCAGACGGGCAACCGAAUGAGACACAAAAAAUAUCACCAAGAUCUCUGAUCAC